GACGGGGGGGGCAAGUGUUCUUCGGAAUCAUUGGGCUUAAAGGGCGCGUAGGCGGCGGCGUAAGUUGGAAGUGAAAUCCCAUCGGCUCAACCGUGGAAUUGCUCCCAGUACUGCGUCGCUCGAGGGGGAUAGGGGUCUGCGGAACUACCGGUGGAGCGGUGAAAUGUGUUGAUAUCGGUGGGAACGCCAGUGGCGAAAGCGGCAGACUUGACCCUUCCUGACGCUGAGGCGCGAAAGCUAGGGGAGCAAACGGG
rnacentral:rRNA from 1 species